rnacentral:tRNA from 1 species
GCCGAAGUGGCGGAACUGGCAGACGCGCUGGACUCAAAAUCCAGUGGGGGCAACCCCGUGGAGGUUCGAUUCCUCUCUUCGGUA